rnacentral:rRNA from 1 species
AUGCCCAACAACCUUGCAGCUCCAGCCUCCGGCGCGGCCAACCUGUUCGACGCAAUGCACAGGAAGUUUAGCGACGGCGAGGACCGCAUCGGCGCGCUCCAGGACGACGUCCUGUUGCACCUCAUGUCGUUUCUUCCGUCGCGCGACGCCGUGCGCACGUGCGUGCUCGCCAAGCGCUGGCGCACGCUUUGGAAGUCCGUGCCCGCGCUGCGCAUCGAGGACGACCCGGACGGCUACCGUGUCUGCGAGUGCAUGGACGAGACGGACCACGACGGCAUGGAUGAAUUUGACUAUGUCCCAGAACGGCCCGCUCAAACAUGUUUCGUUGACGACCUGCUCCGCCUCCGCGACCCGACGCCGUUGAACCAUGCCAUUACUGCAAACCGCAUCGUUGAGUCUGUAAACGAUAAGACAUGUGAAGGAUGCUCUUUUGAUGUGGUUCUGGAAGGCUUGUCCCGUGCUACGAAUUUGAAGUUAACAGCAGCUCAUUAUCAGGUAUCUAUUUUCAGAGUGGAUUUGAAAUGGGGCCAUACGUUUAGCAAGCUAAAAACACUGUUGCUCAAUAAAUGGUGUGUGGCUGAUGACUUCACUGGAUCGGUUUACUUUCUUCAGCACGCACCAAUUCUAGAGACGCUUCUGCUUCAGCUUGAUCUUCGAACUUCUGAGGUAUACACAUUCUCUGAGUAUCAUAGCUUUCGUCUUUGA